CAAGGCCCUUCGGGGUACACUAGCGGCGAACGGGUGAGUAACACGUGAGUAAUCUGCCCUUCACUUCGGGAUAAGCACCGGAAACGGUGUCUAAUACCGGAUAUGAACCUCCUUCGCAUGUUGGGGGUUGGAAAGUUCUGGCGGUGGAGGAUGUGCUCGCGGCCUAUCAGCUUGUUGGUGAGGUAAUGGCUCACCAAGGCUUCGACGGGUAGCCGGCCUGAGAGGGUGACCGGCCACACUGGGACUGAGACACGGCCCAGACUCCUACGGGAGGCAGCAUGGGGAAUAUGGGACAAUGGGCAAAAGCCUGAUCCAUCAACGCCGCGUGAGGGACGACUGCCUUCGGGUUGUAAACCUCUUUCAGUAGGGACGAAGCGCCAAGUGACGGGUACCUACAGA
rnacentral:rRNA from 1 species